UACGUAGGGGGGCAAGCGUUGUCCGGAAUCAUUGGGCGUAAAGCGCGUGUAGGCGGCUCAGUAAGUCCGCUCUGAAAGCCCGGGGGCUCAACCCCGGGAGGCGGGUGGAUACUGCUGAGCUCGAGUCCGGAAGAGGAGUGUCGGAAUUCCUGGUGUAGCGGUGAAAUGCGCAGAUAUCAGGAAGAACACCCGUGGCGGAAGGCGGCUCUCUGGGACGGUACUGACGGCUGAGACGCGAAAGCGUGGGGAGCGAACAGG
rnacentral:rRNA from 1 species